CCUANGGGGGGCUGCAGCGACGAAUCUUCCGCAAUGGGCGCAAGCCUGACGGAGCGACGCCGCGUGUGGGAUGAAGCGCCUUCGGCGUGUAAACCACUGUCAGGGGGCAAAACCAAUGAUUGCCCCCAGAGGAAGAGACGGCUAACCCUGUGCCAGCAGCCGCGGUAAGACAGGGGUCUCGAGCGUUAAUCGGAAUUACUGGGCUUAAAGGGUGCGGAGGUGGGUCCGCAAGUGCCCUGUGAAAUCCCCCGGCUCAACCGGGGAACUGCGGGGCAUACUGCGGGUCUUGAGGAAGGUAAGGCCGGGGGAACAGUAGGUGGAGCGGUGAAAUGCGUAGAUAUCUACUGGAACGCCGAUGGUGAAGACGCCCGGCUGGGCCUUUCCUGACACUGAGGCACGAAAGCGUGGGGAGCAAACAGGAUUAGAUACCCUGNUANUC
rnacentral:rRNA from 1 species